CGCCGGACGACGACGGACGACGGACGACGGACGCAAAGUGAUGAGAAAAGUUCACUUGGCCCUGUGGGCCAGGUGAGCUAAAAAGGAAUAAUUUAGGAGGACAUAGACCUUAUCUACCUCUUUCGUCGAUUGUUGCACGAGAUCCGACAAUGUAAAUCAUGCAACAUGGUUAAAGGGAAGUAACCAGAAAACAACACACGCAAUGUCGUUAUUUUUCUUUUAGCAAAAAUGCAACCGAAAGGCUCUCAUUCAUUGGCAUAUUAAUUGAUGCUCUAUACUCUUUAUCAAAUGAAAAAGAAUCAGUUAAGAAACUCCGACUUAUCAGUACAAUAUGUAGAAAUGUUUCGAUAGUAAAAGAUUUUCGUAAAAGUCUCUUCUGUGAUGUCCGAGGCCAAAAUAAUUGAAAAUCCUAAAUUUAUAAAAAAAAAUAAAAUAAAAAAAAAUGAAGAGCUCAUAAACCAAAAAAGGGACAAAGUAUAGCUAAAGCCGUUUCAACCCUUCGCAAAGCUCUUGCACAGAAAACACAUUUGAUUUGUAUCCGCGGAUUGGAGAGCAAAACCAUAAGACAUUGCAAACACUCAAAAGAAAGGUCAACGAUGAUGAAAGACCCUACGACUGAAUCAGGUAUUUUAUUGCGAAUGCGGAUGACCAUUUUCUGUGCUAAAAAAAAUCAAAGACA
rnacentral:lncRNA from 1 species